CUCGGGCAAAAGCCCCGUGUAGUUGGCAGUGGGCUGGCUAACGGUUUGGCUGCAGAUAUUCACACCUCCAGCAGAUAUUCGGUUCCAGCUAAAACCAAUAAAGCCUGGCUUGGGGACCAACUGCGCUUUAACUUGUAUAUAUAUUUUUAUGCGAAUAUAAUUAGUUAUAGUUUGGCUAAUUGCUUGCUGAAAUGUUAACACUUGGUUGGCUUUCGAUCCAAUUGCAACUACAUCGAACAAUAACAAUAAAAUUCCACGCUACGUUAACUUUAAAUAUGUAAUAUUCUUGAUCCCAUUCUUGAAUCCACUUUAAAACGUUUGGAUAUUAAUUACUUUAUAAUGGUAUAUAUUUUGGUCCAAGGGUUUUUUGAUUUCUCGAUAGAUUUAAGUAUGUUAAGUUAAUUUGUAUAUAGCUCAAUUUGUUCACUUUUCUUAUUUCGUUCUCUUGUUCUUACCCAUAAAUAUAUCUUUAAAAUUCACAAA